rnacentral:rRNA from 1 species
CCUACGGGAGGCAGCAGUGGGGAAUAUUGCACAAUGGGCGCAAGCCUGAUGCAGCCAUGCCGCGUGUGUGAAGAAGGCCUUAGGGUUGUAAAGCACUUUCAGCGAGGAGGAAGGGUUUCAGUGUUAAUAGCACUGUUCAUUGACGUUACUCGCAGAAGAAGCACCGGCUAACUCCGUGCCAGCAGCCGCGGUAAU